ACAUGCAGUCGAGCGAGCGGAACCAACAGAUUUACUUCGGUAAUGACGUUGGGAAAGCGAGCGGCGGAUGGGUGAGUAACACGUGGGGAACCUGCCCCUAAGUCUGGGAUACCAUUUGGAAACAGGUGCUAAUACCGGAUAAUAAAGCAGAUCGCAUGAUCAGCUUUUGAAAGGCGGCGUAAGCUGUCGCUAAGGGAUGGCCCCGCGGUGCAUUAGCUAGUUGGUAAGGUAACGGCUUACCAAGGCGACGAUGCAUAGCCGAGUUGAGAGACUGAUCGGCCACAUUGGGACUGAGACACGGCCCAAACUCCUACGGGAGGCAGCAGUAGGGAAUCUUCCACAAUGGACGCAAGUCUGAUGGAGCAACGCCGCGUGAGUGAAGAAGGUUUUCGGAUCGUAAAGCUCUGUUGUUGGUGAAGAAGGAUAGAGGUAGUAACUGGCCUUUAUUUGACGGUAAUCAACCAGAAAGUCACGGCUAACUAC
rnacentral:rRNA from 1 species